CAUUAUCUUCAAGGCAAAGGCAUCGCGUCCAUGCGCACUGAACUCGCGAGUGGAAUCGUCAUGGACAGAUGAGGGCAGAGACCCGAACCGUUACAGUGGCGUCAGGCUAGCUUCUACCGUGGCCCUGAGCAUGUCCCUAGCCAGGCCGAGGCCCAAACUAAACAACGCACGCUUUGGGCACGCUUCUACCAACCAUAGGUGUCUGAACAUGAGGGACCUAGGUUCAACAUUAUCUUCAAGGCAAAGGCAUCGCGUCCAUGCGCACUGAACUCGCGAGUGGAAUCGUCAUGGACAGAUGAGGGCAGAGACCCGAACCGUUACAGUGGCGUCAGGCUAGCUUCUACCGUGGCCCUGAGCAUGUCCCUAGCCAGGCCGAGGCCCAAACUAAACAACGCACGCUUUGGGCACGCUUCUACCAACCAUAGGUGUCUGAACAUGAGGGACCUACAAACAGAAAAAGAGAGAGAGAGACUAGUGUCCCACCAGUGACACUGUACUGGCUUCUGCAACCAAAACUGUCGGUAUUCAACGACCUUUGUCUCUCCAGUCCUGGGCCGAGCACCAACCAAGCAAACUGUCAGUCCACAAAACUCCAUUACGGGAAAUCAGGAUUCAGUUCAGGGAACCGUCUUCCAACUCGUCCUCAGCAUCCUGUUCCUCUG